UGCACUCCUGUUUCCAUCAGCCUGCAUUAGCGUACAGGGAAGCAUGACGUUGCAAUGCGGGGGCCUCUGCAAUCCAUCGAUCUCGCACCUUUUCGAUUGUUUCUUCGAUUCUACAAUGGUAUCAACACAGAGUUGCUGCAGAAAUGCGUGAGGACCAUCUUGGGCGGCUGGGCAGAAAUUGACGUGCCUGGCAGAGAGAACAAUUUGAAUGCGUGCUCCGCAUUGCACUGGCAUGCAUGCGCAUCAUGUCUGAGCUUAAUUUAGGUUGUAUAUCAGUCGCUUGAAAAAAGGCCUCGAUGGUUUGCUAAGUGUUAAAUCAACGCUGUUCCUGACGACUCAGGAACUGCUGUGGCA
rnacentral:lncRNA from 1 species